CAGUAGCCGCGGUAAUACGAAGGGUGCAAGCGUUAAUCGGAAUUACUGGGCGUAAAGCGUGCGUAGGCGGUGAGUUAAGUCUGCUGUGAAAUCCCCGGGCUCAACCUGGGAAUGGCAGUGGAUACUGGCUCGCUAGAGUGUGUCAGAGGAUGGUGGAAUUCCCGGUGUAGCGGUGAAAUGCGUAGAGAUCGGAAGGAACAUCUGUGGCGAAGGCGACUAUCUGGGCCAACACUGACACUGAGGCACGAAAGCGUGGGGAGCAAACAGGAUUAGAUACCCCCGUAGUCCCGUCUCUUAUACA
rnacentral:rRNA from 1 species